GGCAUCGUGGCAGACACGCGUGGGCUGUUUGGGCAACUGUUCUGUGAUUUUGGGGAGGAAAUGACAGUGUUUGACAUCAAUGGAGAGCAGCCACUGAGCGCCAUGAUCUCAAUGAUCACAAAGGACAGUGCUGGUGUGGUUACAUGUCUGGAUGAAGCACGGCAUGGAUUUGAGAGUGGAGAUUUCGUCACUUUCACAGAAGUGCAGGGCAUGACAGAGCUCAAUGGCUGUGAUCCAAUAGAGAUCAAGACACUGGGUGAGUUAUCAUAGGUUUUCUAAUUUGAACAGACCCAGAAACCACCCAGCCCAGUCUCUUGUUAGCCCAGAGACCUCCACAAACAUACUAGAUCAGUGGUUCUCAACUUUUUGACUCCAAUAAGCAAAUAUAAUUAAAAUUAUUACAUUUCAGAAGUCCAGGAGUUGUAAUUUUUUCUGGCAUCCCAAUCUUUCUAACAGUGAAUUAUUUACAUACUCUUCCAGUCCACUCUGUGGAUUAAAGAAAAAAAAAAAAGAAAAAAGUUUUUUUACUUCACAAUAAAAUAUUUUA